AUGGCCUAACGGCUGAACCAGCAACUUGGAGGAAUGAAAGCUAGUUGCAUAUUUGCAAUAUCGACUAUGUCGAAUAAAUUUCUGGAUGGAAUUAUGAUAAUGACAUUUUCUAUCCAUGUGUCUUGACCAAAUUACGUGCCAGCAGUCGCGGUAAUACGUAGAAGACUAGUGUUAUUCAUCUUUAAUAGGUUUAAAGGGUACUUAGACGGUAGAUAAAACCAGAGGUACUCAUCUGCUAGAGUUAUAUGUAAGAAGGAAGUACUGAUGGUGUAGAGAUGAAAUUUUUGAUACCAAGAGGACUGGUGGCGAAAGCAUCAAUUUAUGUAAUAACUGACGUUGAAAGACGAAGGCUUUCACCGCAAAAGGGAUUAGAUACCCCAGUAGCUUAAGCAGACAAUGAUGAAUGUCAUAUAAUAGAUAUAAAUUUAUUGUAUAAAUGAAAGUGUAAGCAUUCCACCUCAAGAGUAAUUUGGCAACAUUGGAACUGAAAUCAUUAGACCGUUUCUGAAACCAGUAGUGAAGUAUGUUAUUUAAUUUGAUAAUCCGCAAAAAACCUUACCACAAUUUGAAUAUUACAAGCGCUGCACGGCUGUCUUUAGUUGAUGUCGUGAGAUAUUGGUUAGUUCCAAAUAAUCAACGUAAACCCUUACUUUAUUUUUAUAUAGAGUAGUUCACCUUUAUAAUGGAUAUGACAACAGGGACCAAGACAAGUCAUCAUGGCCUAAAUUUGUGG
rnacentral:rRNA from 1 species